UACGUAGGGUGCAAGCGUUGUCCGGAAUUAUUGGGCGUAAAGAGCUCGUAGGCGGUUUGUCGCGUCUGCUGUGAAAACUCGGGGCUUAACCCCGGGCCUGCAGUGGGUACGGGCAGACUAGAGUGCGGUAGGGGAGACUGGAAUUCCCGGUGUAGCGGUGAAAUGCGCAGAUAUCAGGAGGAACACCAAUGGCGAAGGCAGCUCGCUGGGACGGUACUGACGCUGAGACGCGAAAGCGUGGGGAGCAAACAGG
rnacentral:rRNA from 1 species